CAUGAAUUUCCAGUACUUUAUACAAAUCUUUGUAUUGAAUUUUAUUAAUUUUAUAUUAAGUUACCAUUAAUUAGAUGUAAUAUUAAAAUAAAUUGUCAAAAAAUUUCGUAAAUACACAGAAAUUUAUAAAAAGGUUUAAAAUGUAAUUUUGGGUAGUUUAUGGUAAGUUACCACAUUUAACCGUGUUACACAAACCAGAUUAUAAAUUCUGGCUCUCCCUAAUAACUUUAAAUUCUUUGAAAUCUUUCUUUAUUCACGGGGACCUAAUAACCAGUGUAAUCAUACGUGACCCAUACAUGAACUUGCAUUACACCGAUCCUCGCUAAAACCUUGGAUUCACGGAUUGUAAUCUUGGGUACAAAUAGUAUUUAAGUUUAUGUGGGCCAGCAGUUUUUUAUGAAUUAUAAAAAUAAAAAGAGAUAAGAAUCUUUCUUUUUCCUAUUUCUAAAAAAUGUGUGUAUAAAUUUAAAAUGAGCUUCGGAAAAACUUGGACGCAACUAUGUAAAGAAAUAAUGGGCAUCCGCAUGACGAAAAUAGCAAAAUAAUAUUACAUGAAAAUGAAAGAAAAUACAUACUACUGAAAAUACAUUACCGAUAAGUCAUAAAAGAGCUUACUCAAAUAGUUUCAGUGCUCAUUGUCUCAAACUUAAACUAGGAGUUGCUUAAUUGUAUUUUCACACACGUAUAUGUGACCGUCCGCAAAGAAAGGGGCCUUAUGCGUCAAAGCUGAAUUUUAGAAGAUGGACCAUCGUAGAAGAGUCCUCAAACCAGCAUUUCAGUAGUGGGGUUGCAUUUAAGAAAAAAACCCAAUCCACUGACCACUACACCUUUACGCGUCGUAUCCGUGAGCUUCGCUCGCACCGGGCCGCUUCGGUUAUACCUAGUAGUGUUGCGUGGUGGGGCUGGUUUUCGCAGACCUCUCGUUUCGUCUCCGCGUAUGCUAAGUAUUGCCUAAGUUUGCAUCUCAAUAAAAAAAGUAAUUAACUUGAACAAAUUCUGAUCAUUGAAAAUGAAAGAGUAACUUAUAAACUACCGAAUGGCGUCAGAAAAUAAAAAUCGAUUUUUUCCGCAUUAGGUCCCUUACUUCGGGGGCGGUCACAUAUGUUUAAAUGUUAUUCCUACGUAAUGCCAGAAAUACAAAGGAACCUAUAAUUCCGUAAUUAUUGGCAUUCAUUAGGGUAUAGUGAAACUAUAAAUACUAGAUAUCACCACUGUUCGCAAAAAAUUAUUUGCGUCUGAAAGAAGUAAACAGAUUGUUGAUUAUGUGUCGAAAUAAAUUUGAACUUCUCAAUUAAUGUAUUGCAAGACCUAGAAGUAGAAAUAGAAGAAGCUAUAUAAUUACAGAAAAAGGAACAAGAAAGAAAUUUUUCAAAAUUCAUUUGAGCUGAGUUUAAUUACUAGUUUAAAGAAAAUCACAUUUAGUUUGUAUACAAAAAUGCUGCUCUAUAAAUUCGUGAAAUAUUUUUUCUUUAUUUAAUUGAGCAUCCAAUUUUCUAAUGGAUGCACUAACAGCUGAUGACAUUUUCAUAUCUUUUCACUACGCUGAAAUCAGUCUCAUUUUUGUUUUAUGAAAUAUGUCACACGCAAUAUCUAUUAUUAUCUUCAAUGACUUCAAGUAAAAAUAUAAAAUUUUAAGUAUGUCCAAAUAUAAAAUUUGUUGGAUGAGCAUGGCAGAUUAAAAAAUGUAUCAUUAUUUAUAUAUUGUUGUUACUUAUAUAUUAUGUCGAUCCUUUCAGCGAAAUAUAGCACAAAAUAUUUUCGUUUAAAAUUGAUAUAAUAAUUUUGGAUUUUCAAUAAGUGUUAAAUGUCGUAAGUGACCUUAUUGCAUUACAAACAUUAUCUAGUUGUUAAAAAUAAAUGUAUUAUUCGUCAUCAAAUUUUGGGGGUACCGUAAUACCUCCCUCAUUUUUUAUUAGCAUUACUUUCGCUAAAAUCCUGGGCUCUGCCGAAGUUUGGAACGGGACUAUCAAAAAUGAGAGAGGGGAUGUGUUACGUGACAAUAUUUAUAAUAAGAUAGAAUUAUAUAAAACUGCAAUGCAAAUUUCUUCUAAACUUAUACAAAAUUAUCUGUUCAUCAAUGUUAUAAUUUCAUUUCUCAGUUUUUACAACAGUAAAACAUAGAACGCAAGAAAUGUUAAUCAACUUCUUCUAUGGUAUUAAUUAUAUUCACUAAAUUGUACAUUCAACGUACUUUCAAACCACAUAUUGUUAUCUGGAGAUGUUUUGGCCAAUUAAUUAUGCGUAAAAUUUGCCGAAUAAUUUUGAAUGUUGUCAAAUGUCUUAACUUGCUUAAUUGUAAUGAAAACAAUACUAGAGGGCAGAUGUUACGAGAACAUAACUACUUAAUAGUAUUAAUAAUAAAAAAACUAAAUUGCACUUCACUGCAUUAUAAAUUAUGUAAAAGAAAAUCGAUAGUUUGAUACAUGUAUGGAGGCGAGAGUGCAACCGUGAGAAUAUAUAAAUAAAUAACGCUUCUCCUGUUUCUGUAUGUGGAACCUUGGUUCUGAGUUAUCACUGCCGAGCUUCUUUUCAAGGGGACAACGACGAUUUCACGAGGGAUGAGUCUUUGAUGGCGAACCGGUCGUUCUUCCGAUAAACUGCAUUGAUGUUGGAUAAUAUAUCAAGGCAAAGGACCUCUAUAAUCUUUUCGCACCAGUCUUAUCAUGGCAGUCUUUUUCUACCAAUCUUGCAACGUACCAGUCUUCUAACAGCAAGUUAAAAGUCUAACAGCCAAGUUCUAACAGUCUUCUAAGCUCAUUAGUUCGAGCUUUCUGCGAGAAACUCGCAAUUCACCUUCAAUAGUUCGGUUCCGGAUUAAAAAUCUGCUUUGCCUACAACGAGUCUUGUUGACGUUCGAGUUCUUAUUCAACCUGAGCCAACCAUCGUGCUCAGACCAAACCAUUGUGCCCAGGCUAAACCAAGGGUCGAGUCCAGCUCAUCUCCAUCGAAAGUUUAAUUACCUGGUCAUCCUUCUACAUAUUGCCUGUCUGAAAUCAUAAUCAGUACCAAAGGCUUGGAACCGAUCAUUUUACCAGCUUCCGGCACAAAACUGAGGGCUAGACAGAUGAUCCAAAACGAGCCUUUCAUUCCAAGAACCUAAGAACAGACUAAUACAUGAUGGAAGGCAGCAAAACAGGUCUAUCACUUUAAACCUUAUAUGCCUCAAUCAACCAAUGUGUAAACCAAUGGAGUAAAUGACUUUCUUAUGAGCUAACCUAAAAAUAUCGAAUUUUAUAGAACUUUGCCUCAGUCAAGAUCCAUUCUAACUUUUGUUAACCUUAAAAUAUGGAUCCCCAAUCAUUAUCAUCGAAAUAACAUGAAUUAAGUCGCCUUCAAGUGUCACUAAGAGCUUACUUCGAUCACUUUUUAGUUAAUUUUUUAAAGAAGAUUGUGCGUCGAGAAUUGUAUACUUGCAAACAUGUGCCUAUUUAAUUUAAGAUAUAUCUCAAUUUAGGUAACCUGGUUGAAUUGUGUGAUUUUGUAGGUAUGUGCUAAUUUACUUUAGGAUUUGUCUAAUUGUAUAUAAUUUUAUAACUUAGGUAGUUUUCCGAAAUGUGUUAAUUUAAUUAGAAUUAAUUAGAACAUUUUAUUAACUAAAUUUAAGAUUAUACUUGUAACCUUCGGUAAUCAUGGGUUAUUACUAAUUUAGUGAUGGUAGGUUGAAUUCAGUUUUAAGGUUAGGUUUUGUCCGUCACUAGAUUUCCAAAACUAAGCCCCAGAUAACAAUAUGCGCGCACGGUGCAAGCACGAGUGCGAAUAAACCACGAAGCAUAUUACCAAACAGAUUGUGAACCUUUGCAUCAUGCAGAGACUUUUAGGUCAAGAAUUAUGUCAACCUAAACCCUCGAAUAUUUUUGAUUUUAUUUAAUUAAAUAAAUUAUUAUUUCUAAUUGU